AAGGAAUUAAGCAACCACCUGAUGAUUUUAGAGUGCAAAUGUGCUGUUGUGCAUCUCCCCAGCUCAUCUGCUCUGGAAGCACUCAGAGGCCAAUCUCUUGAAGGUCAUUUCAGACCAUUGGACUAGCAGGGCAUCAAGGCUUGGCUGGCAGCCUCCACAGGACAUGGAGCAGCAGUCAUCUGGCACAAGCUAUCAGUAGGACUCAUGACCUGAUGAGUGCAGAGGAGGCCUGGAAAGAAAACUCAUGUGGGGCAGAUUUCUCUUGAACUUACUCUAAUAAGGAGUCAUCGGGCUUAUCCCUACUAUAAAAAACCAACGAUCCAGGACCCAAACUCCACAGG